rnacentral:tRNA from 1 species
CAGGAUGUAGUUCAGCUUGGUAGAAUGCUUGAAUGGGGUUCAAGAGGUCAAGGGUUCAAAUCCCUUCAUCCUGACCA